AUGACAACAUCAAAUGCAGGUCUACGCAAAAACCAGCGAUAAACUUUAUUUAAUUAACUUUUAUUUUUAAUGAAGUGCUAGACUGCGUUAGUAAGAACUUGGUCAUUUGUUCACUUCUUUAUACCGCAGAUCCAUUUACAAACAAGGAACAAUUCGAUGCAGGAUUUUCAGAAAGACUGAAACUAAAAGACGAUGCUGUGCCAACUAUAUUGAAUCUGACAGUAAUGUCGCAACACAAGUCUGUUUGGAUUCUUAUUCUGAUGGCACCCAUUGACUGCAGAGCAUCCAUUGGUAUUCGAGUGAUGUAAUGCUACAAGUUGUUUCUGAUGAAGAAAAAACUCAUCUAAAUCUUAGAUGUCCUGAGGCUCACCGCCAUUUAGUACAAAUUACAGCCAUCAGCUCCACCCACGUUGCAUCAUAGCCAUUGAUUCCCGAGGGAGCAAUUCUUCAAAUUUUCUUCAAAUCUUUCUUCCACAUGCCCAGCUGCACAUACUCCGUCGACUCUGUCCUUCUACUCCUGGCUUGUGAAUUCCACUCAAUUGCCCCGGUUAAUGGAGAGAACACAAUGAAGCAGCGGCCACUAUUGGAGGUAAAACUCCUCUAUGCGCCCCGACAUUGAGCAGGAAAUCUUCAAGCCUGAAUCGGCCUUGGCACAGCCUGGUUCUGUUUAGCAAUGCUGGGUUUACAUGAUCGACUGCCAUAUUGAUAGACCCUCCACCAUGGCACGGUAAUGCAUCCGGAAUGAGCUGAGAACUAAAAUCAGCCAUGCACCCUCACGCCCACCGCUGGCGUUCGACUCCGCUGUAAUAGUUUCUAUUUGUGGAAGAGGAAGGAUAUAAACAAAUGCAUUAGCUUUGCCUCGCCACAGGAACGACGGGGGAAAACAAGUCAAAACGAACAGCGGGAAAGAGAGGAGGUGAGGCGGUGGGUGCAGAAAG
ensembl:lncRNA